rnacentral:tRNA from 1 species
GUUAGAUAGCUCAAUUGGUAGAGCAAUUGAUUUGAUAUCAAUGUGUCGCAGGUUCAAUUCCUGUUCUAACUCCA